rfam:Myotis davidii contig15664, whole genome shotgun sequence.
GGUGGUUCUCAGGUGACACACCCUGGAAUUGGGUUCCCCCUGUCUGGUUCCAGGUGCGUCACCCCAAGGACUGCA